AUAACAAUUACUUAAAAAAAAAAAAAAAAAAUCAUUUUUAAGACGGUGUCCAAGACAAACUUGAAAUGAAGCUCAUUUUCGUCUUUUAUUUAACAUUUCAACAACUUCGUAGCUUGCUAGCUUGGACCCAAAGCAGCUAGCAAAAAAAAAAAAAAAAAAAAAAAGACGAGAGUUCGUCUACAAAUACUGCGCACCUCUGGUGGGACAGCACAGGAACGGACAGGGCUUCGACUACAACGGAGGGACAGGAACGGACACGGCUUUGACUAAGACGAAGGGACAGGACAGGAAAGGACACGGCUUUGACUCCAACUUACUACUAAAUUUCUUUUACUUACAUCUUUCCUGGAGAUGCCAAAAUGCAAAUAAGCAGUUCAUACAACAAAAAUGUAUCUUUAUAAAAUUAUUAAAACAAAUGAGAAGAGAAUA